UUGCUGGCUUACUACUGUACUUCACAUAAUUUGAUUAUCAAUUACGCUUAAUCAAAUUUGAAUAUUGUUCACAUCUAUUGGUAGAACUGGUGUUCUAAUUUUGUAAUGCUUAUGUUAUGUCUAUUCGUGGAGUAUAUCGUAUCUGACUUUCUCAUUCUUAUCACAGAAUCUUUUCCAAAAUGGCUGCAUCGUCUUCUUCUUCUCGGUUGGUUCGUGCAGUGGGUCGUUCAUUGUUCAGUGGUCUUUGCAACAAUGCUGAUGGUUUGAUGAGAUCAACACACGAGAUGAUGUGCAAUCAUUUGUUAUUCCAGCAACAAAGAACUUUCAUACAAAUGAGGACGAGUCUGAAAGUGGUUGACAAUUCAGGUGCAAAGAGAGUGGCGUGCAUCCAAGCACUAAAGGGAAAGAAAGGAGCAAGAUUAGGAGACACCAUAGUUUGCUCAGUGAAGGAAGCUCAGCCAGGUGGUAAGGUGAAGAAAGGAGAAGUGCAUUAUGGUGUUGUUGUUCGUGCUGCUAUGCCAAGGGGUCGCUGUGAUGGGAGCGAAGUGAAGUUUGAUGACAAUGCUGUGGUACUCAUCAACAAGCACGGUGAACCCAUUGGAACCAGAGUUUUUGGUCCAGUGCCCCAUGAGUUGAGGAAAAAGAAGCAUGUUAAGAUUCUUAGUCUUGCAGAGCAUAUCGCCUAAUGUUUCAGCCUCUUGGUUAUUAUGUACCUUUAACUCAAUGAUUAUUCAGUCGUCCGAACCGAUUGGAAUACAGUUUUGAAUUUAUUGUAUUUGUAGGAACCUGUAGUUGUCCCCAAGCUGUAGAACAUGUUUUUUUUUUUUU
rnacentral:misc_RNA from 1 species